AGUACGAGAGGACCGGGGUGAACGUUCCACUGGUGGACCAGUUGUCGUGCCAACGGCACAGCUGGGUAGCUAUGUACGGACUGGAUAACCGCUGAAAGCAUCUAAGCGGGAAACCAACCUCGAAACCAGUUCUCCCUUGAGAACCGUGGAAGACGACCACGUUGAUAGGCCAGGUGUGUAAGUGCAGCAAUGUAUUGAGCUUACUGGUACUAAUCGUUCGAUUGGCUUGAU
rnacentral:rRNA from 1 species